UUACUAUUACGCUAGUUUUUAAAUAAAUUGAGUGUAAAUUAAUGCCUGUACAAAUAAUUUCCAACUGCAGCGCACUUUGUUUAUUCCUUCCAUGGAUAUUUCUAGAGAAGUCAAAGAUGGAUGACCAUGGACCAUGGAACUUCCCACCUGUUUUGCUUCUCCUCAAUUGCCUUUGCACUUUUGCUCUGAACUUAUCAGUUUUCCUUGUGAUUACACAUACAAGUGCUUUAACCAUUCGUGUUGCUGGAGUUGUCAAGGAUUGGGUGGUUGUCUUACUGUCUGCUGUUCUGUUUGCUGAUACAAAGUUAACAACCAUCAAUUUGUUCGGUUAUGGAAUUGGUAAGUGUCUGCAAUGCAAUGUAUGGCAUUCUAAAUUUUCCUGUCUCGUUAGACAUAUCCUUUGCGGAAUUAUAUAACUCUUCUCUUAAAUGCUUGUGUACUUUUGCAUAUUCCACAGUCCAGGAAAAUGGGUAGCCCAGUAUCGGGUGUCCCCUGGAUGUCUAACUGCAUAUUAACAUAUAUAAACCCGGCAAACAAAUACUGGCCUUUACUUUGGAAAUUGUGUUAAAUCUAAGAUCAAAUCAAUUAAUAGUUAUGAUUCUAAUAUUGUUCAACAUAACGAAUAUAGAUUUCGUUUAACAACACCUGUUGAUCUAAAUGAUUAGAAGCCUUGUUUUCUUUAUGUAUUGUGUUGGAUUUAAGUCUUUUAAAUGUAAUAAACAGGCUUGGAGAGCUUUGUCCCUUAAGUGGGUUUAUCCAAUUCAACUUAGAUUAGUUGGGUCUCAACAUGACUUUUGGAUAUUGUGGGUCUCAAACCAAGAAGAAUAUUAAGUAUUUUGAUUCUGUUUAUUUUAGAUGGAUUUAUUCUCACUGAUGGACUGAUUGAGUAGCACAAGAAGUUUACUUAGCUGAUUAAAAGUAGGUGAUAUGAUUGAUUUUUUACGGAAUAUUCCUGAUAGCAGUACAAAGGCUGUUCUCAAAUUAAAGUUAAAUGGUACAAUAUAAGAACUGUACUAAUUGUAAGGUUUGGAGCUAUGAAUCUUGCUAAAUGAAAAUUAAAGAAAAAUAAGCAGCUUCUAUAACCAAUGUUGUAAAUUUUCAUACAGCCAUUGCAGGGGUAGCAGCAUAUAAUAAUUUCAAGUUGAAAAAAGAAACUUCUCGAGCCACCAUAGAUGCCUCUGAGCAUGAUGAAUCUACUCAAAGGGAAGAGUCUCAGCCUUUAACAAGUAGAUCGUAGCAGUCUGAGUUACUCAAGGCAUGUAUAUAAUGUAUUUGAAUUUGUCAUUUUUCUUCCCAUAGUGUUACUUCGUCUUAUAGAGUAUUUCUUUUAUCUCUUUCAGUUGUCCAUGUCCUGUGCAGAAGUUUAUGAGAACAUAUACUGAUAACGACACAGUUCUCAUAUAAUGUAGCAAGAAGGCAUCAAAUGUUCAUGCAGUGUUUCAGCUAAUUAUAGAUCGGGAAAAUAAUAUGCAGAUCAAGAGCAGUAUGUGCAGAUGUAAUAUACAAACUCAAUCCUUUCAUAUAGAGGUGCUGGGCCAUGGCAUUUGAUUUUUUUGAAAUAUUUGAAGUCAUUCACAAUCACAACGAUUAUUUUUUUGAUACAAUUGCCAGUUUCAACCCUAGCAAUUCACUAUUUCAAGUUGAAUGAUAAAGAUUACAAGCCCUGGCAUCCACCAUUUAUUAUAAUUGGGUCAUGGCUUGAUAUAUACUGCAUUUUCUUAUACAGUUGAAAACUUGUAAGAUUAUUUAUUGUUUUAUUAAAUUGUAAUUUGAUAAAAUUCAAUGUUACGGAUUGGUUCAAUUUGGGAAUAUUUGCCCUGGUGUAAUCUUUUUGAUCUGGUUGCUCUCAAUGUAUUUUGUGCAUUAUCUCGUUGGUUCGGGUUAGUCCAUUAUAGGGUAUAAAUGUGAUGAGAGGUGGUACUAAAGUUAGAAACCGAGUGUUUCAUCUUAUGCUAGAUGUAUUUAAAGAAGAUCUAUAUUUUGGUAUCAUGGCCAUUUUUGGCUUAUAGAAAUCUGUUUAUAAAUGUGAUAGCAUGUUGCCUUGCAGUAUGAGGAAAUAUUUGCUGUGUGAGGAAGUAGUAGCGGAUCCAGGACCCGGAGUCAGAGGUUUCAAAUGAGUCAGAGGGUUCAAAUUUUUUAAAUGAACACAUCGGCAAAAAUAUAAUUAAAAACAAUUUUAAUAUGUUUAUACAUCAAAAAUUAUACAAGUCAUAACUGUCUUCUAUGUGAUUUUAUAUUCUGAAAUCGUUGAACAAUAAGCUCAGAAUCAAUGUUAUUGAAUACAUCACUCUUAUUGUAAGUAACUAAACAAUUGUUCAUUCAUGUAUCUCAAAUUCAGUUACGCAACAUAUUCUUCGCAAAAUUCAUAGCAAAGAAAGCUCUGUCUACCGCUGCUUUUGUAACAAGCAAAAUCAGUGUCAAUUUCUAAAGAAGAUACUAACAUGUCUUCCUUUUUCAACCAACUUCUUCGAAAGUUGUUGGAGUCCUUUCAAAGAGGCAAAUUCAUCAUUCAUACGCAUAUCGAUGAUGUAACAAUCUAGUACAUCACCAAGCAUCACUAAAUUAAAUGGAGUUAACCCAUUUGGAUAAAAACUUGCAAAUUCCAAUACAUUUGCCUUAUCAAAAGCAGAGAACAAAUUAGAUGGAUCCAAAGAAGCCAAACAAAGGAGCAAUUGAGUAUUAAUCUCACCAACACGAUCAUUAAGUUCUUGAAGAUGCAUGUCUAUCACGGUGAAAAAUAACUACAUCCGCCACUGUAAGGAGGUAUCGUUUGGUUCCUUUUCAGUUUAACAGUUUUCAGAAACAAUUUUUUAAAUUUGUUUUUCUCUUUCUUUCUGAAAAUGAAAAGAAUUUAUGAUUUUCAAAGCUAUAAAGAAACAGAAGAAAACCAACAAGGACAACAUGAGCGCCGUGCACGGAUGAAAUAAGAGUGUUUUGUAAACAUAUGUAACAUCUCGAUCUGACGACUGGCCUCACGGUAACAACACGAGUCUUUUCAGUGCGCUUUGUCCUCACUCGCGCACUUCCCAUGAGGUCACGCAUCCCAACAUUGCUCCAAAGCAAGCACACUUAACCUUGGAGUUUUUAUGAGUUGAGCUCCCGAAAAGAAGAUGCAUCUUGUUGUUAUGAGUAGUACAAAUUAAAUCUUUUAUGCCCUCCUCAACUGUAUAGUCUCAUACCUAUACAUUCUCGGAAUACCUUUUGUUCGGGUGCAAGAUCGAUUCAUUCAUGUACCCCUUCGCCAAGGUUAAACUCUCGCACACUCUUUGUUUCCCGGGAAAAUGCGGGAAAACAUUUUACCGGAAAAUUAUCAUCGAAAUGGUUCUGUGCUGAUUUCGAAGCUAGGAGGAUUCAAAGUCUUGUUUGUUUGUUUUUAUUAUGUUUUUUCAUGUUACAUAAUUUGUUUUUCUAACUUGUAGUCUAGGUUAAAUUUGAGGCUUGUGUUGUUGGAUUUUGUCAGUUGUGAUUGGUAGUUGAGAUUUUUGUUCAGUUGUAAUGGAAACAUUUUAGUUUUAACCUUUCUGUUUGUGAAAUAGGAUUGAGUGUGAUAGAGUUGAAAUUUUUUGUACAUUCACCGAGUUUUUCAUGAUGUUUGUUUCUUGAUGGUGGCAUCAGCACAUGUUGGUUUUUAUGGUUUUAUUGUCUUUUGGAGUGAUCCAUGCAGGAAUUAUUAUUGUCUUCCAUUUUUUUUACUAGAUUUAUGCUUGAUUUGAGGAAUUAAUUGAGAAAAUGUAUAAAAACUGUGUCGUUGUGUAGCUGAUGCGUGUCGGAUUUUCAAUUUGUUAUGUGCAGUGGGUUUUGUCAUCUAAGGAAUUUAACUUCCCUUAUCCUUUGGGGUUGACUCUACUUCACAUGGUCUUCUCCUCUGUUGUGUGUUUUAUAUUAACCAAAGUCCUAAAGGUACGUCUUUAUGCUUCGUGUUGAAUGUUAUUGAAUACGUUCCUAUUAUGCAAUGCAGAUCUUUUAUCUAUUUCUUUCAGGUUUUGAAGGUUGAGGAGGGAAUGACUCCUGAAAUGUGAGUAAGAAAGAAGAUUUCUGUAUGAUACAGCUGAUUUAUAGUGUUUUAUGAAUGAAGUUUUUUCUUUUGUCAUACUUUCUCUGGCUUUUGAUGACUGAAAUGUAGAAAAUAAGACGCAAAAUCAUUGAAGAUAUAUCCUUUUAAGAGUCUUAUAAUCUGUGGAAAAUAAAUAAUCAAUAUCUAGUGUCUAUUCAAAUCACUUAAUUCUAUACAAUUUAUUAAGCCGGUGUUGGUACCAUGUGAUGAAUUACAGAUGACUUUAACUUAUGCAAUACAUGCAUGCAUUAGUAUGGUGGUACCAAUCAAACAAUUCAGUGAUUCAUUGUUGUCGUUUCUUUUUUGGGUGCCUUUCUUUCACCAAUUUCAUAAGAGAAAUUAAAGAUAAGCUUAUAAUGUUAAAUUAAAAGAAUUGAAGUCCUGAACCUUAUUUGAUUUUUUUUUGCUGCUCUACUUUUAUUCGCUUAACACAGGGGCUUUACACUCACUCCUCACUCUAUGCGCACCUUGGCUAAGCCAUUGUUUUGUUUCCUUCUGUUAUGAAACAUAGGUUUCACGCAGUCACUUUAUGGGACUCCUAAGGCAAAGUAGGAAGGGAAGAAGGAUGUUACCACUUACCUGAGUACAUUGUACUUGAUAAUAGAUGCUGAACUUAGGUAGUGUUUGACCCAACUGUUUUUGGGUUUCUCUUCUACUUAGAAGGAGAAAUUGGGCUAAACUAAUUUUUAAAAAAGCUCCUUAAAUCUUAGUAAGGACAAAGAAAAAGUAGCUUCUCAACAAACUGCCUAGAGGACUUUUUUUUUUUUUUUUAUUUUAUUUUAAAUUGCCGCUGUCAAGAACACCUCCUCCUUCCUUCACUCUUUCUUCUUCUCCCUCCCAUCCCCUCCUCUCCUCCUUGUUUCUGGCCAAACAGAACUUAAUUCGCCCAUCUCCUCAUAUUUCUUCCUCCUGUCCUCCAUGUCUGGUCGUCACUUCAGUCCUCACUGCCACUGAUUCCAUCUCUAUCCCUUGCUUCGUGUAAGUUUUUUUUUUCUUUUCUGAUCACCAUCCUUCUUCCUCUUGUAGAUCCAAGUCUUCCUCUUUAAGUCUUUAUCGUGUAGAUCUCUUCCUCCUCAUCCUCUUCAAACUAGACCAUUUACAUUAUGUUUCCGAAACAAUAACCCUAAAAUACCCGCUGAAAAUGCCCCAACGUUAAUUUCUCAAGUGUAUUUUUUGGGUUUUUGUCAAUCCCAUCGAAUAGUGGAGAAAUACUUAUUGCUUUAAAAGUCGAUUUCAUUAAAUUCUGAUUAUGUCUCCAAAUUUCAGUUGUAAUUUAAUCCUACUUAUUUCAGAUAUGCUACUUCAGUAGUGCCAAUUGGGGCCAUGUUUGCAAUGACUCUUUGGCUGGGAAAUACUGCAUACUUAUAUAUUUCCGUCGCAUUUGCACAAAUGUUGAAGGCAAUCAGUAAGUUACAGUAAACCUUUUAUUUUACUACCUAUGUUCCAAAAUGAUUGUUGUUUAAGGUUAUGCACAUAGUUUAAGAACUCUUUUAUUGGUAAAAAACUUGACCAAAAAACUGUUGUUUAUAUUUACCUACGUCAUUCAUUGUCCUCCAGUUUUCACAACUAACUCACUCAUUAAAUAAUAACAGACAACAGUAACAAAAAAGAAUAGUGAUUGGUCAAAAUAAGAGGUGAUAGGUGAGACCAAAAUUAUUAAAUGAGAGUAUAGAUGGAAAAAAUGCGAUAAAUGUCUUGAAUUUCUAAAAUAGCAAAUAGUUUGGAAUAAAGGGGAAAGCAAAAACAACAAAGGUUUUAGAAUAGAGGUAGUAUGUGUUAUUAUUAGGUAUUUUUAGCCCUUUAUGAUAUCUACCAAUGGAAAGUAUAAUUGCUAGAUGUGUCUUUUGAGAUAUUUAAAAUAAGAAUCAGAUCAGUUGGUUAAUCAACUUGCCUUAGGUGUUCAAUAUGUGGAGACUGUAUAAUUUUUCACAUUAUUUUUCCACCAAAAUGGCAACUAAUUGCAUAAUCACUCUGGUUCGUCAAAUGUCUAUCACAGUGCCUGUAGCUGUUUUUCUGCUUGGAGUAGCUGCGGGACUUGAGUUAAUGAGCUGCAAAAUGCUCUUAAUCAUGUCGGUGAUCAGUUUUGGUGUUCUGGUUGCUUCUUACGGAGAGAUAAAUAUAAACUGGAUUGGAGUAGUAUACCAAAUGGGAGGUGUCGUUGGUGAAGCUUUAAGACUUAUCUUCAUGGAGAUUUUUGUUAAGAGGAAGGGUCUUAAGUUGAAUCCUAUAUCCGUGAUGUAUUAUGUUAGUCCCUGCAGGCAAGUGUUUCUUUUCAUAAUUUUACUUACUAUUACGCUAGUUUUUAAAUAAAUUGAGUGUAAAUUAAUGCCUGUACAAAUAAUUUCCAACUGCAGCGCACUUUGUUUAUUCCUUCCAUGGAUAUUUCUAGAGAAGUCAAAGAUGGAUGACCAUGGACCAUGGAACUUCCCACCUGUUUUGCUUCUCCUCAAUUGCCUUUGCACUUUUGCUCUGAACUUAUCAGUUUUCCUUGUGAUUACACAUACAAGUGCUUUAACCAUUCGUGUUGCUGGAGUUGUCAAGGAUUGGGUGGUUGUCUUACUGUCUGCUGUUCUGUUUGCU
rnacentral:lncRNA from 1 species